rnacentral:misc_RNA from 1 species
UCCGGUUUAACACCGGCAGUCUUUCCAGAGUCCUCGCCCGAAGCGUUAGCAACUGGAAACAGGGGUUUCGCUCGUUAUGGGACUUAACCCGACAUCUCACGACACGAGCUGACGACAGCCAUGCAGCACCUGUAGUCGGUUCCGGACUGGAUACCGUUCGUUCACGUUUCCGUGUUCUACUUCCGACCGCUUUCGCACAUGUCAAGUCCAGGAUAAGGUUCUUCGCGUAGCCUCGAAUUAAGCCACAUGCUCCACCGCUUGUGUGAGCCCCCGUCAAUUUCUUUGAGUUUCAGCCUUGCGACCAUACUCCCCAGGCGGGGUACUUAUCACUUUUGCUUCGACUGUAAACCCAUGUCCAGUCUACAAUCUAGUACCCAUCGUUUAGGGCUAGGACUAC